CUUUUUUUCACUGAAUCAUCUGGUUUUGUUUCAAGUUGGCUUGUAGCAUUGGAUGAUUUAACUGAGGAAGAUUUUGACUUGGGCCUGCCUAGGUUACCCUGGAAUUGAACUGAUGACUGAAGAGGCUCAUGCUGCUCUACUCCAUUCACAGUCUUUGGACUUAACUCCACAGACACUCUCUGAUGCUCACGUUCUUUGCCUGUGGUUUCUGGACAGCCUGGCGCUGAUGCUACAAAUUGUGAGCUUCUGUUCUCCAGAGAAGUGGCUUCCAGUUUCUCAUUGGCAGAGUCACCACUACGGCUGUCCUUAGAGCAUCCAUUCAGAUGGCAGCCAUGUAUUCUCUGAGGCUCUUGAGAUGCCUUAUCGGGCCCAUCAUUCUUAUUUUUAGCAUCCUUGUUGCCUUGGUGCUGUUUAGAUUUGCUUCUUUUUCUCCUAUUAUUCUUCUUUUUCCCUGUCAUAUUCCAUUCUUUUAGAACCUGAGUUGCACUACCAUCUAUGAAAGCCUGGACAGCCUUGUCUACAUUGUUAUCAAACUGCUGCAGCACCAGAACUAUUUCAUUAUUGCUUUUGUUUGGAACAACUGAUCGGAUUGCAUUGAUCUUUUCCUUGAUAUUUACUGGAGAACUGAUUUCUGCCAUCUCUCUUCUUACAAGAAUACUGUCACUGUGAACGUCUCCAGUUUCUGUUCUUGUUUUUCUAUCUUCUCCAGUGGUCUGUAUCUCCUCGCUGCGGCCGGGCCGUGCCGGAGAGCGGGAGCGCGGGAGGCAGGAAGGCUACGGGUGGCGCGGCCGCUCGUCGGGAUACGCCUCGCGCCCCUCCCCGCACGCGCGCGCCGCCCCGGGCCCGCCCCGGUAACGGCCACCGCCCCCGGCAACCGCCGCGCCGCGUUCCCCGGCCCGCGGGCGCGCGAGCGGCGGGAGGACGGGCGGUGCUGCGGCGUUCUCGCCGCCCGCGCUCGCCCCUGAGGCACCGCACGUGCGCUCCCGGCACGGCGGGCAGCGCCGGCCCCGCUGCGAAGAGCUCGAGCGCUUCUCGCCGAGCAGAGCGCAGCGCGCGACGUAAAUCAGUGCCGGCGCGUGGCUCUUCUACCCGCCAGCGCUCCUGGAGAGCGGCGGGACGUGAGAGCUCACCUCAACGUUUCCAGUUAUCGACGGUUUAAAACACUGCCUGAGAGCUCCAAAGAAAACGCGCCGUCUGGGCUGUUAGCACAAAGGUGAAGCAGCAAUACAUUACGAUCCCCUCACGGCCUAACACCGGAACGCGCAGAUACAACUGCACGCUACGGGAACUACGCAACUGAACUACGGGAAAUCACAACAAAUUUCCUGUAAACAACGCAAUCUGGAUUUACUAUCAGCACCGGUGUCCCACACGGCCAUUGGCAGUACCCUUAACCCACGCACACGCCGGAUCUCAUUCGUGCAGGAGUUAAGCUGGGCAGUCUCAGCAUUUCUCCCCAGAGCCCUCAGCUCCCUCUUGCUGCCCAUGGCAAGUGGGCUCCCCGGGCCGUAACACAGCCCUGCUUCCCUCCCUGCCCUCAGCAGAACGGCCCUGUGGUGCUUCCCAACACAGCUGGCAGGCAGCACCAGGCCCUCGCUGCUUUCAGCCAACCACCCCAGACCUCAGGGCUGAAAUGCGGUAGGGUGGGAUCUCCCUCCCGGCUCUGGGUGCCCAACAGACCACCCUCGGCCCCUCUGCCCUACUCAGCUGCAAAGGGUUCUCCCACCUCCUUCAGAAAGCUGGGUGCAAAGCAGAUGCUCAGCGCUAUGGUGCAGCCGACAAGCUCGGAAUUUACAUUCCUUUGGGAGUCACGUCUUCUAAAGUAUUCGGAUCUUUGGUAAAUGUUGGUUUGUUUUAAACAGCAUCAUUUUGAACCUCCAGGCUUGCAUUUGCACUCCGAGAGCGCUCCUGCUCGUACUGCUGACACCUAUCUACUCCCCGAGCUGCAUGAAUUUUGCCUGGGAGUUCUGGAAACGAUUCUGAAGUUCAAGAGAGCAGAGCGUUAUGUUCAUAAAUCAAGGAUGCUGCCGAACUUCCUGCACGGGAGAACAGAUGUGAACUAUGGGCCUGAAACUCAUCUAAAGGAACGCAGUGGAAACACACAGGAUGGAAGGCUCUGAGGGCUUUACAAAUGGCAUUUGGAUGGGGGAGAGCAGGGAGAAAGAGAAUGUGGGAAAAAGAAGAGUGAAAAAGGAUCCUGCUGUUUAGCUCAUGCAUAAACUGUGUGUGCUCAGCCAAAGGUCACUCCUUUUAUUUUCUCAUUAAUUUCAGUGACGGUGAAUGGUAUAUGAAGAAUGACCUAAAAAUGAGAACUGCCAGGCAUAGCUCAGGGUUUUUUUUUGCGACGAUGCGGAGGAAAACCUGUGUGGCAACUUCGUUCUGUAUCUUUAGAUACAGAGAUACACUACUCUAGAUAAAAAGUAGUGACCAAAAGGAAGUUAAUUCUUUGAGAUGAACCACGUGUUUAUUUAGGAAAGUUAAAUAAAACUUCAGUCAUCUACUUCUUACGUAUUUGCCAGUAAAGGCUUUAUACCCUCUGUGCACUGAAAUUGCUUAAUUCCUACUUUUCUUUUUGUAAUCCAUGAAAUAGUGUAUUUGUUUUGAGGGUGAGCACUGGAGUACUUAACUCAAGUGAGGGAAAAAAGAAAAGGAUAAAGAAGGAAGAAGACCUUUGGGAGGCCCACAGGUGUCCAAAAGCUGGCACAAGGAAACUGCCCCUAUGGGCAACCUUGGAGAAACCAUUGGGAGAGAGUGGAACGGGCACCCGGUGGUGCUUCAUAAUGAAUGCAUAUUCAAAAGCCCUGUGCUGGUUCCAGCGGCUCUGCAGCAGACAAAACAGCCCCACCGUGUGCCAAACACGAGGCAGUCGGAGAACGUUCUGCUGCCUCUGCAUAAACGCAUUUGAGGAGGAGGAGACACGCGGGAGAUGCAACAGACGCCGGGACAGGAGGGGCGAGAGCAGGAAAAGCACUGAGGGAAACAAACAUGAACUGACCGUGGUCUCCCACACUGCCCACUGCCUCACCAGAGGGACCAACGAGUCACAUGCUGUGGGGGAACAGGGAGCAGGACGGGCAGAGGAGAGGUGCCUGGAAGUGAUCCUACAAGGGAGCAUGUGUUUGUUUUUUCAGUACUAGAAUCAGUAAUUUAAAGUUUUUAAUUGGGACUAAAUUAAAUCAGUUGAAAUUCCCGUGGCACACAACCAUUCCUGGCUUGCAACAGGGAGAAACUGAUUCAACACAGAAAUUUGCAAACAAACUGGUGCAGUCACAGUGGUCUGGCAAAGGAUCUAAGGGUGAAGAUAGGGAAAACAGCAAAUUACGUUGCUGUGUUGUAAGACAGUUGCUAAUCUGGGGUAUAAAAGUAACAUGGAUCUUUUAAGCCCGGAGAAGGGCUGAUAAUAACAUUUUAUCCUGGCAUUUGUUAACUGCAGUGAAAAACUGCAACGUAAGCGGAAAAAGAAGUUCAAAGAGAGGCAGCAGAAGCGAUGAACAGAGAUAUGUCUUCAGGAGAUAGAUGUUUACAUGCUUGGCUUAGGAGAGCGCUGCCAAGCUGCAAAAAGGCAGAAGGUCCUUUCAAGGACCUGUGUGGAUCAUAAGGAGUGUUACAUGGAGUAACAACAUGGAAAGAGAAAGAAGAUUUAUGACAGCUACAUAAAACUGACAGUCAGUCAGAAAGGACCGCAGACUAUAGAGGAUGCUUUUCUACAUGGUAUCAGCAGGUAGUUUAUAGUCAACAUUCAGAAGGAAAAAAAAGAAAAAAAAAAAAAAAAAAAGGAUAUAUAUAAGUAGAAAAGCUCCUGCAUUUGGGUGUGUGAAAGGAAAAAAAGAAAGAAAAAAUGUUUUUGGCUCCCAAAUUCAUGGGUCAAAUUUAGAAAGGGUAAUUCGCAAGCCGCAGUUAGUGGCUAUUCAUUUACUCCGACAAGGCCUGAAUUUGAUUAAAUGGUUAUGAGCACAUAGGCUGUAUGCUAUGGAAACAAAAAUCUGUUUUGCAGUGAGGUUAUUUAUAUCACAGAUAAUUAAAACUGCUGCUCUGAGAUCUCGCGUUUGUAUGAAAAUGCAACGUCCUCAAACGAGAGUGACAGCCAAAGAACAAUGUCUAAGGAAGUUUUUUCCUUUUUCUUCCAAAGAUUGGGAAACAAGUCUGUUAAAAUCUUCACAGAAACGUGGAGGUGAAAAAAGAACCCAACACAACCAGAAACAAUGCCGCCGUAUCUCGUGGUGUUGGGUGUUUCAGAGUGAGCGUACUUGAGUGGGGUGGUAAACACUUAAGAAUGACUGAAGUUCAAAAACAAACAAAAAGAAGCCUUGAGCUCACUCUGGUAUUAAAUGGGAAAGAAGUGAGGCAAGGCUUGGCAAAAAUCAGCAUAAUAGUAGCCUUAUUGUUGGAUCUGAAAGCUUCAUUUUCCAACAGUGUCCCUUUUCUGAGAAGCUGCAGAACCACUCUGAAAGUGCUUUCUAUAGAGAUGAUAAAUCUGUAGUGGAGAUUUAUGCACAUUCAGAUUAAGUCAGGAAAUCAGUCAUGAAAAGGAUAAUUAAACAGAGAAGGACAAAAACCUAGAAGAAAAAUUACCAGAAGCCCCCAAACAAACACAGCUAACAAUGCACCACGAUGCAUCAGGUCCUGGGAUUCUGACUCUGACUUUGGCACCUAUUGCUUGAGCAAUGCACGGGGCAGGCAACCUCAGCUUGUUCCUGACUGCGGUUCCCAGAGAGAGGCACUCUGCACAGCAGCAAUUCAGAGCUGGAGCAGUGUGUGAACAGACCAUGCUCAGUAUCUUUGGUCAUUCUUUCCUUUUUUGCACUAGAUCUUAAUGCGUCGUAAAGGUGAAAGGCGUAAGAACAGAAGGUGUUCCACAGCUGUAUAUGGAACUGUUUGAGACCACAGUCUCAUACUGUGCUCAUAUGCUAGAUGAGAGCUCUUGGAUGUUACAGUCUCCAUUUUAGAGCAAACAGCUCAGUCUGCCCAGGCACAAAUCACUGAGGUGCUGCGAGAGAGCUGGCUGUUCUGACACAGAGGUGACUUUUCUCCUUUCAGCUUUACAAGAUGUGCAGCAGACUCAGAGCGUUAAUGGUAAAGCAAACACAUUGACUGAAGGAAAUUUAGUAAAAAAAAAAAAAAAAAAAAAAAAAAGCCCUUCUGUUUUGCAUCUCUGCAAUUCCAAAACAUGCAAACUCAGGACCAUGUCACAGCCCACUGAGCAAACCACUCUGGCUUUGAACACAUGGUAUAUAAAUGCUGCAGUUCUGUGAAAACCUCUAAUUUGUGUACCGUGACUUUUGUAUUGAUGAAUUUAUUUAUUAAAUCCUGUCCUACUUCUCUAAAGUGGAUUCAGUCCUGGAGUCUGAUUGGCCUCAUGUGGGAGCUCAGGACAGAAGAAACUAACAUGGACUGAAAAGACAAGGGGAAACAAGGUUUGAUCAGUGGACAACAAUAUACAUAAGCACAAUGAUCACGACAGAAAAUAUCAGCAGUGUGAUCCAGAAAUGACCGAGGUCACUUAAGAUUUAAUUCAGAAUGAUGCCAAGCACACAUUGAGGAGGCUCAAGUGAAGCUCAACACAGUAGAAUACAAAUUCCUCAAAAGCAAAAGGAAAGCAUCCAUGACUCUGAGCACUAUGUAAGAGCAAUGCUACUUAACUGCACACACACACAUGACAAACAGCAGAACUUUGGGGUCAUUCCUCGUGCAAGAGCCCUACUUCAUGUAACAGGGUUCAGACAACAUCUCUGUAGUCGUAUCCCGCAAACCUAGAAGGUAAUGCACGUCCUCU
rnacentral:lncRNA from 1 species